rnacentral:rRNA from 1 species
CCCUUAGAUGUUCUGGGCCGCACGCGUGCUACACUGAGUAAUUCAAUGGGUAAGGGGACGCUAGAGCAUUACCUAAUCUUGAAAUUUGCUCGUGAUGGGGAUCGACGGUUGCAAUUUUCCGUCGUGAACGAGGAAUACCUUGUAGGCGCAUGUCAUCAUCAUGCGCCGAAUACGUCCCUGCCCUUUGUACACACCGCCCGUCGCUCCUACCGAUUGAGUGAUCCGGUGAGGCUCUGGGACCUGGACGGAAAGAGCGUUUCGCUUGUUCUGUUUGGGAAACUUGGUCGAACCUUAUCAUUUAGAGGAAGGAGAAGUCGUAACA